rnacentral:rRNA from 1 species
GGAAAGGCGCGCGAUACAGGGUGACAGCCCCGUACACAAAAAUGCACAUGCUGUGAGCUCGAUGAGUAGGGCGGGACACGUGGUAUCCUGUCUGAAUAUGGGGGGACCAUCCUCCAAGGCUAAAUACUCCUGACUGACCGAUAGUGAACCAGUACCGUGAGGGAAAGGCGAAAAGAACCCCGGCGAGGGGAGUGAAAAAGAACCUGAAACCGUGUACGUACAAGCAGUGGGAGCACGCUUAGGCGUGUGACUGCGUACCUUUUGUAUAAUGGGUCAGCGACUUAUAUUCUGUAGCAAGGUUAACCGAAUAGGGGAGCCGAAGGGAAACCGAGUCUUAACUGGGCGUUAAGUUGCAGGGUAUAGACCCGAAACCCGGUGAUCUAGCCAUGGGCAGGUUGAAGGUUGGGUAACACUAACUGGAGGACCGAACCGACUAAUGUUGAAAAAUUAGCGGAUGACUUGUGGCUGGGGGUGAAAGGCCAAUCAAACCGGGAGAUAGCUGGUUCUCCCCGAAAGCUAUUUAGGUAGCGCCUCGUGAAUUCAUCUCCGGGGGUAGAGCACUGUUUCGGCAAGGGGGUCAUCCCGACUUACCAACCCGAUGCAAACUGCGAAUACCGGAGAAUGUUAUCACGGGAGACACACGGCGGGUGCUAACGUCCGUCGUGAAGAGGGAAACAACCCAGACCGCCAGCUAAGGUCCCAAAGUCAUGGUUAAGUGGGAAACGAUGUGGGAAGGCCCAGACAGCCAGGAUGUUGGCUUAGAAGCAGCCAUCAU